rnacentral:rRNA from 1 species
AGGAGCUUGCUCCUUGGGUGACGAGUGGCGGACGGGUGAGUAAUGUCUGGGAAACUGCCCGAUGGAGGGGGAUAACUACUGGAAACGGUAGCUAAUACCGCAUAACGUCGCAAGACCAAAGAGGGGGACCUUCGGGCCUCUUGCCAUCGGAUGUGCCCAGAUGGGAUUAGCUAGUAGGUGGGGUAACGGCUCACCUAGGCGACGAUCCCUAGCUGGUCUGAGAGGAUGACCAGCCACACUGGAACUGAGACACGGUCCAGACUCCUACGGGAGGCAGCAGUGGGGAAUAUUGCACAAUGGGCGCAAGCCUGAUGCAGCCAUGCCGCGUGUAUGAAGAAGGCCUUCGGGUUGUAAAGUACUUUCAGCGAGGAGGAAGGCGUUGUGGUUAAUAACCGCAACGAUUGACGUUACUCGCAGAAGAAGCACCGGCUAACUCCGGGCCAGCAGGCGCGGUAAUACGGAGGGGUGCAAGCGUUAAUCGGAAUUACUGGGCGUAAAGCGCACGCAGGCGGUCUGUCAAGUCGGAUGGUGAAAUCCCCGGGCUCAACCUGGGAACUGCAUCCGAAACUGGCAGGCUAGAGUCUUGUAGAGGGGGGGUAGAAUUCCAGGUGUAGCGGUGAAAUGCGUAGAGAUCUGGAAGGAAUACCGGUGGCGAAAGGCGGCCCCCUGGACAAAGACUGACGCUCAGGUGCGAAAGCGUGGGGAGCAAACAGGAUUAGAUACCCUGG